rnacentral:rRNA from 1 species
GAUGAACGCUGGCGGCGUGCCUAAUACAUGCAAGUCGAGCGAAUGACGAGGAGCUUGCUCCUCUGAUUUAGCGGCGGACGGGUGAGUAACACGUGGGUAACCUGCCUGUAAGACGGGGAUAACUCCGGGAAACCGGAGCUAAUACCGGAUGAUAACGAGAAGCGCCUGCUUCUUUUUUGAAAGUCGGUUUCGGCUGACGCUUACAGAUGGGCCCGCGGCGCAUUAGCUAGUUGGUGGGGUAACGGCUCACCAAGGCGACGAUGCGUAGCCGACCUGAGAGGGUGAUCGGCCACACUGGGACUGAGAAACGGCCCAGACUCCUACGGGAGGCAGCAGUAGGGAAUCUUCGGCAAUGGACGAAAGUCUGACCGAGCAACGCCGCGUGAGCGAUGAAGGCCUUCGGGUCGUAAAGCUCUGUUGUCAGAGAAGAACAAGUACCGGAGUAACUGCCGGUACCUUGACGGUACCUGACCAGAAAGCCACGGCUAACUACGUGCCAGCAGCCGCGGUAA